GUUAUAGUAGCUUAAAAAAAGCACUGGUCUUGUAAACCAGAGAUUGAGGGAUAAACCCCUCCUAAAACA
rnacentral:tRNA from 1 species